UAUAUAUAUAUAUAUGUCGAAGUAAAAUAUAAAUAUAAUUAGUGCAUUAAAUUUUCGCUUGCAUGCCACAACCUUCGUCAGAUAUAUACAGCGCUGCAUGCCACAGUUGCAUGCCACAACCGCAUUCGGUUGCAUGCCACAACCUUCGCCAGAUAUAUACAGUGCAGCCAACGAGUGAGUUUAUAGGAAUUUUUCACAAAGAGUGCAUAAUAAAAAUCGUACAAGCGAAACAACCAUGAAGUAAUUUGUUUAUUUUAUGAGUUAUUUUUUCAAUUCAAUUCAAUUUAUUACAAGUUAAAAACAAACAAGUUACACACUACACUAACCCGCAAGUAGUUAAAAACUAAUCUUGGCGAGUAUAGUGUUGAUUAGAAUAUAUAUUUUAUAGUACAUAGUCAGUCUCGAAAAGAUACAUUAUUGUGCAAAAUAGAAAGAAAAGAAAAUAAACAACAAUUAAUUAACGGCCUAGGAAGAAAAAUAUUUUUAAUAACUUAUAUGUUCUAUCUUUGUUAUUAUCGUAGUGACAUCAACAUAAACAUCAUCGCUUUCCAAGACCUGCAAAAGUAUUGCAUUUAUUUUUGUUUUAAAAAUACAUUUACGUCGGUUCCGUAAUUCAUUAGGGAUACCAUUCCAAAUUUUAGUUCCGAGUCGAGAGAAUGAGUUCUUUUUUUUAUUCUGAUUCGAUUGCUGAGUAAAAUAAUAUCCGGCCCACCAAUUGCAGAUCUUGUGUUGUGACUAUGUAUCUGGUUUACAUUUGUAAACAUUUUUAAUAGGUUUUGUGGUGCUAGAGUAUUGGCUAUGUCGUGCAUCAAAAUACUCGCAGUUUUAUAAUAAAGCAUUUUUAUCGGUAGCACAUUUGCAUUUACAAAUAAUGGUAUGGCAUGUUCUCUGUUUGUUGCAAAGAACAUCAGUCGUAAA